UUUCAAAAAGAUGGUUGUCGAAAGUGUAAGUUUACAAAUUUUACUUAAUUAAAUGUAAAAAAUUUAAUAAUAUUGAAUAAUAAGAAAAGCCCACAAGCAAAUGCAACAGUUGUAGACAUAAUUGGCGGAAGGACCAACCAGAACCAGUACAAAAUGGAAGAAGCAUUACAACGCGGGGUGCGUUAAAGCUUCCUUCACAAUACUCUUUCUGAGCGGUUGAUCUUAAGGUUUUGUUUCAUAGUUACGUACUCCCGAAUUCUUGAGAUCGUUUUUCACUGCGUCUAUCCAUCGGUUCCUCGGUCUGCCCUUGGUAUUUACGCCCAUUAGCUUUCCUUUCAUGGGUUUCUUCUCGGCACAGUCAGUAGGCCUACGGGUAACAUGGCCUAGCCAUUGUAUGUGCUGAACUUUAACAAAACGCACAAAACGCCUUUAUUUCGGAAUUUUACCGGACUCUAUAGCAAUCAGCGGGCAGUUAGCAACUUUAAGAGCCCAAACCUCUCAUCCAUAGGUUAAAAUUGGUGGGAUAAUGAUAGUUUUAGGCAAUAGCCUGGGACUUGAACCAGUUAAAAUGUGCAUAAUACGUUUUUUACAUAUGGCAUAACAUAAAUAUUGAGGAACAUAGUAACCGCGUCAAACUAUGCAAGAAUUAGCAACCCUCGUCGUGAAAUUGGCUAACCAACUGUGACUGAAGUAACAAAGCAAUUUGCCACAGCUCAUAAACAACAACUAAAAAUUAUGUCAACUAUGCAACAUAUAGCUUAUUUCGGCUGGAUUCUUCUCGUAGACGAUUAAAACGAACAACGGCUACAUACAUUAUGGAGAGCGAAUAGCGAAUUAUGUGUGUAUAUAAGUAUAUAUAAGUACCUAAAUAAUAUAUAAG